rnacentral:RNase_P_RNA from 1 species
CACAGGCAAGGGUGCAAAGGUGCGGUAAGAGCGCACCAGCAGCAUCGAGAGGUGCUGGCUCGGUAAACCCCGGCUGGGAGCAAGGCCAAGGAACGACGGUUGGCCAUCAGCCCCGUUCCGCCUAAACGCGCCGCUCGAGGCCGUCGGUAACGACGGUCCCAGAUAGAUAACCACCCACCCUCUCUGGAGGCGUGAACAGAACCCGGCUUAUGUCCUGCUUUCACUU